rnacentral:other from 1 species
AAAGUCCUGAUGUGUUCGUUGUACACCUAGUUUUGACCUAACAUUGUUUAUACGGGAGCUUGAGUUUUCAGACAGAGUACAUGCCUCUAACCUCGGAUUGAGGACUUACAAACCUCUGGAAUAAAGCACCCACCUGCUGAGUGCGGGAUCAAAACGAGGGAAAUGGCGACGGCACAAUUGGGACUAUU